AAGCCAGCCAAUGAAUCUGCUUACCUGAAUGUGUUCCUGUAGGAACUUAGGAAAAGCUGGUGAUAGUAAAGACAUGUUACGAGCCUUAAAGACAUUGAAGUCAUUAAGGCCCCUGAAAAUGGCUAUAAGA
ensembl:snoRNA